CAGUCGCCGCGGGAAUACGUAGGGUCCGAGCGUUGUCCGGAAUUAUUGGGCGUAAAGAGCUCGUAGGCGGUCUGUCGCGUCUGCCGUGAAAUCCUCAGGCUCAACCUGAGGCGUGCGGUGGGUACGGGCAGGCUAGAGUGCGGUAGGGGAGAAUGGAACUCCUGGUGUAGCGGUGGAAUGCGCAGAUAUCAGGAAGAACACCGAUGGCGAAGGCAGUUCUCUGGGCCGUAACUGACGCUGAGGAGCGAAAGCGUGGGGAGCGAACAGGAUAGAUACCCCAGUAGUCCCUGUCUCUUAUACA
rnacentral:rRNA from 1 species